GCCUUCGUGGUGUAAUGGUCAGCACACUCGGCUCGUAAUCGAGAUGUCAGAGGUUCGAGUCCCGGCAAGGGCG
rnacentral:tRNA from 1 species